ensembl:snoRNA SNORD58 Small nucleolar RNA SNORD58
CUGCAAUGAUGGCAUUUCUUAGGACACCUUUGGAUUAACCAUGAAAACAACUACUCUCUGAGCAGC